rnacentral:rRNA from 1 species
AGAGUUUGAUCAUGGCUCAGAACGAACGCUGGCGGCGUGCCUAACACAUGCAAGUCCGACGUGAAAGGGGAGCAAUCCCCCGGUAGGGUGGCAAACGGGUGAGUAAGACAUGGGUGAUCUGCCCUGGAGAUGGGGAUAUCCCUCCGAAAGGGGGGGCAAUACCGAAUAGUAUCCGGUUCCGUGAAGGGGGCCGGGGAGAGGGAGGCCUCUGGUACAAGCUUCCGCUCCUGGAUGAGCCCAUGGCCCAUCAGCUAGUUGGUAGGGUAAAGGCCUACCAAGGCGACGACGGGUAGCUGGUCUGAGAGGACAACCAGCCACACUGGCACUGAGACACGGGCCAGACUCCUACGGGAGGCAGCAGUGAGGAAUAUUGCGCAAUGGGGGCAACCCUGACGCAGCAACGCCGCGUGUGGGAAGAAGGCUUUCGGGUUGUAAACCACUUUUGCCCGGGACGAAAGGGGGGACCUGAAUAAGGUUGCCCGAUGACGGUACCGGGGAGAAUAAGCCACGGCUAACUCUGUGCCAGCAGCCGCGGUAAGACAGAGGUGGCAAGCGUUGUUCGGAGUUACUGGGCGUAAAGAGUCUGUAGGUGGUCUGUCAAGUCUUUGGUGAAAGGCCGUGGCUUAACCAUGGGAAUGCCAAAGAGACUGGCAGACUGGAGGCUGGGAGAGGGAAGCGGAAUUUCUGGUGUAGCGGUGAAAUGCGUAGAUAUCAGAAGGAAGGCCGGUGGCGAAGGCGGCUUCCUGGAACAGACCUGACACUGAGAGACGAAAGCGUGGGGAGCAAACAGGAUUAGAUACCCUGGUAGUCCACGCCCUAAACGAUGGGUACUAAGUGUGGGAGGGUUAAACCUCCCGUGCCGCAGCCAACGCAGUAAGUACCCCGCCU